rnacentral:rRNA from 1 species
AGUGAACGCUGGCGGUAGGCCUAACUCAUGCGCGUCGAUUGGCAGCUCAGUAAGAGCUUGCUUUUAUGGGUGGCGAGUGGCGGACGGGUGCCGAAUCCCAUGGAAUCUACUUUUUAGUGGGGGACACCCAAGGGCGAAUUACGCUAAUACAGCAUACGUCCUACGGGUGAAAGCUGGGGACAUUCGGCCCUUGCGCGAUUGAAUGAGCCGAUGUCGGAUUCGCUAGUUGGCGGGGUAACGGCCCACCAAGGCGACGGUCCGUAGCUGGUCUGGGAGGAUGAUCAGGCACACGGGAACGGAGAGUCGGUCCAGACUCCAACGGGACGCAGCAGUGAGGAAUAUGGGACAGAGGUCGCAAGCCUGAUCCAGCCAUACCGCAUAGGUGAGUAAGGCCUUCGGGUUGUAAAGCACUUUUGUUCGGAAAGAAAAGCAGCAGCUUAAUACCCCGCUGUUCUGACGGUACCCAAAGAAAAAGCACCGGCUAACUUCGUG